CCACAGACACCAACAUCCAACAUUAUGUAAUGGGAUUUGGUGAGUGAUAGCUAGGUUAGCCUAUCAGCGAGUGUGGCGCCCUAUUUAAAGGGGUAAUUGGUUGUAGCCUAGUAUGCGUCACAUCCGAUCCGUCUGACUUUCUCCCUUCUGCGCUGUUGUUGUUGUUGGUGGUGGCAGGUAAGCUGAUAGCUGCUAGCAUACGGUUAUGUUUUUUAGUUGUUAUAUAGUAUAAGUGUACUUUUAAUGUUCUUUUGACUUGUAGCGCGUCUUUUCCUUGGCGCUGGUGUUGCUCUGGUGGCCUUCCGUGCUGCAGUUGUGGGUUAUAUGACCGCUCGUCUUUCAGGCAUGGUUCCUUGCAUCCCUUCAUACAAGCGGGUGAAAUGACUGAACCGGCACCUGUAAAGUGUGAUGCACGUGAGGUAUAACCCCUUCUGGAUUCUCGUUCUCAUUCCAAUGUACCACUUCUUCGCACUGCUGAGUGUGGUCGCGUUCCAAUGUUCGGCUGCUUAGACGCCGUUAUCACCGCUGCUUAAAGAGAACUGUGUUCGUUCUAUAGUUAUUGCUGCUGUACCACUUCUUCGUGCUGCUGAGUGCGGUUGCGUUCCAAUGUACGGCCGCUUAGAUGCCGUUAUCACCGCUGCUUAAAGAGAGCUGCUCUCGUUGGGUUACCUUAUGCCUUCAUAGUGCUGCGCUAUGUAUUUGUGUACAUCUGCAAAGGACUCAGACGUUACUCUUUAUGAGCUGUUCUUUAUUUAGUUUCUUUCGUUUGUUUUUUGUUUUCUUUGUGAAAUGAUUGGUUUAUAUAUGAUUAUUUGUAUUUGUUUCAUUUAUUGCGAGUUGCCUGUGCGCCACAUGGGACCAAGUAUCUGCAAUCCAGAGCUAUUUGUGGAUUGCGUGUAGGUAACUGAUAAAAGCAACCUGAUGAUUUUUGGUUAUUUUCUUUUUGAGUUUUGUGAUUUUUGGUUUGUGUGUUUUACGUUGAUUUGUUAUUAAUUACUUUUUGAUUUAUCGCAGAGGCCGGGGUCCCACGGGUGAACGGAUCUCGUCCUAUGGUGGUGGUGCUUCAUUGAGUGCUGUGUAACGCACUGCAUGUUUGAUAGUCCGUGCCAUCUCUCCUUCAGACAGAGACUCGUCUUCUGAACCGCUGGCCGAGGACGAACUGCUGAAGAACAAAGCCAUCAGAGAGCCUAGAGUGAUCAGUCCAUAAAGUCCAGUGUAACAGUCUAUUCCACAAGGACAUUGAUGUUUUGAUGCAUAAAGUGAAUUGGAAUGUGCAGGAUGACGGUGAAAAGCACUUCCAGAUCAACAGUUGGAAGGCAAAGCCAAAAUAAAUAGAUAAAUAAAAUGUGCGGUGGAAGCAUACUGUAUUACACUGGUCACUGAAGCAACCCAUGGCUAUGAAGUUGAAAAUUAAAAUAUAUGGUAAAUUUUAUAUUUAUUACAAAUACAUAUAUUAUGUAAUGCUGUAAG